AUUGAACGCUGGCGGCAGGCCUAACACAUGCAAGUCGAACGAGUGGCGGACGGGUGAGUAAUGUCUGGGAAACUGCCUGAUGGAGGGGGAUAACUACUGGAAACGGUAGCUAAUACCGCAUACCAUCAGAUGUGCCCAGAUGGGAUGAGCUAGGUGGUGGGGUAACGGCUGACCAAGGCGACGAUCCCUAGCUGGUCUGAGAGGAUGACCAGCCACACUGGAACUGAGACACGGUCCAGACUCCUACGGGAGGCAGCAGUGGGGAAUCUUGCACAAUGGGCGCAAGCCUGAUGCAGCCAUGCCGCGUGUAUGAAGAAGGUCUUCGGGUUGUAAAGUACUUUCAGCGGGGAGGCGUUACCCGCAGAAGAAGCCACGGCUAACUCCGUGCAAGCAGCCGCGGUAAUUC
rnacentral:rRNA from 1 species